GACGAAGGGGGCUAGCGUUGUUCGGAAUUACUGGGCGUAAAGCGUGUGUAGGUGGUUGCCAUAGUCAGGGGUGAAAUCCUGGAGCUCAACUCCAGAACUGCCUUUGAUACUGGGAAUCUCGAGUCCGGGAGAGGUGAGUGGAACUGCGAGUGUAGAGGUGAAAUUCGUAGAUAUUCGCAAGAACACCAGUGGCGAAGGCGGCUCACUGGCCCGGUACUGACGCUGAGGUGCGAAAGCGUGGGGAGCAAACAGG
rnacentral:rRNA from 1 species